AUUGAACGCUGGCGGCAUGCCUUACACAUGCAAGUCGAACGGCAGCACGGGAGCAAUCCUGGUGGCGAGUGGCGAACGGGUGAGUAAUAUAUCGGAACGUGCCCAGUCGUGGGGGAUAACGUAGCGAAAGCUACGCUAAUACCGCAUACGAUCUAUGGAUGAAAGCGGGGGAUCGCAAGACCUCGCGCGAUUGGAGCGGCCGAUAUCAGAUUAGGUAGUUGGUGGGGUAAAGGCUCACCAAGCCAACGAUCUGUAGCUGGUCUGAGAGGACGACCAGCCACACUGGAACUGAGACACGGUCCAGACUCCUACGGGAGGCAGCAGUGGGGAAUUUUGGACAAUGGACGCAAGUCUGAUCCAGCCAUUCCGCGUGCAGGAUGAAGGCCCUCGGGUUGUAAACUGCUUUUGUACGGAACGAAAGGUUUCUAUUAAUACUAGGAGCUCAUGACGGUACCGUAAGAAUAAGCACCGGCUAACUACGUGCCAG
rnacentral:rRNA from 1 species